rnacentral:rRNA from 1 species
UACGGGAAGAAAACGCCCCUGCGGGGGAGAUUGCCGGUACCGUAUGAAUAAGCACCGGCUAACUCCGUGCCAGCAGCCGCGGUAAUACGGAGGGUGCGAGCGUUGUCCGGAUUUAUUGGGUUUAAAGGGUGCGUAGGCGGCCUGUUAAGUCAGCGGUGAAAGUUUCCGGCUCAACCGGGAGACUGCCGUUGAUACUGUCAGGCUUGAGUAACGGAGGGGUACAUGGAAUUUAUGGUGUAGCGGUGAAAUGCAUAGAUACCAUAAGGAACACCGAUAGCGAAGGCAUUGUACCGGCCGUUCACUGACGCUGAGGCACGAAAGCGUGGGUAGCGAACAGGAUUAGAUACCCUGGUAGUCCACGCCGUAAACGAUGAUCACUCGCUGUACACGGCGUAGCCGUGUGUGGCCAAGCGAAAGCGUUAAGUGAUCCACCUGGGGA